GAUGAAGAACGUAGCGAAAUGCGAUAAGUAAUGUGAAUUGCAGAAUUCAGUGAAUCAUCGAGUCUUUGAACGCACAUUGCGCCCCCUGGUAUUCCGGGGGGCAUGCCUGUCCGAGCGUCAUUGCUGCCCUCAAGCACGGCUUGUGUGUUGGGCCCCCGUCCCCGGUUUCCCCCGGGGACGGGCCCGAAAGGCAGCGGCGGCACCGCGUCCGGUCCUCGAGCGUAUGGGGCUUUGUCACCCGCUCUGUAGGCCCGGCCGGCGCCAGCCGACACCCAACUUUAUUUCUAAGGUUGACCUCGGAUCAGGUAGGGAUACCUGCUGAACUUAAGCAUAUCAAUAAGCGGAGGA
rnacentral:misc_RNA from 1 species